GAUGAAGAACGCAGCGAAAUGCGAUAAGUAAUGUGAAUUGCAGAAUUCAGUGAAUCAUCGAAUCUUUGAACGCACAUUGCGCCCGCCAGUAUUCUGGCGGGCAUGCCUGUCCGAGCGUCAUUUCAACCCUCGAACCCCUCCGGGGGGUCGGCGUUGGGAACCUCGGGAGCCCCUAAGACGGGAUCCCGGCCCCGAAAUACAGUGGCGGUCUCGCCGCAGCCUCUCCUGCGCAGUAGUUUGCACAACUCGCACCGGGAGCGCGGCGCGUCCACGUCCGUAAAACACCCAACUUCUGAAAUGUUGACCUCGGAUCAGGUAGGAAUACCCGCUGAACUUAAGCAUAUCAAUAAGCGGAGGA
rnacentral:misc_RNA from 1 species